UGCCCUUCAGCCUAAGGGGAAGAGCCCUAGCAGCUGUGUCCCUCCCAUUUAGAAAUUGGAGUGUGUCCCAACUUUUCUGGAAAUAUAAACCCUUUGCUUUUUCUUGGCUGGCCAAAGAGAAGCAUAAACAUCAGUGAAGAAUACAUGUACCCAGGGAUUGAAUUCAGGACCUUGGACUUGCCAGGCAGACAUGGCACCACUGAACUACAUCCCCAGCCCUUGAUUCUUACAUAUUUACUGGAAUGAGAUAUCUCAAGUCUGAAGGAAGCGACUAUAAAGCUUAGAAAUCCUCAUAUACAAAAUGGUGAUGCAGCAGGGCAUGGUGGCACAUGCCUGGAAUCCCAACACUCUCCAGAGGCUGAAGCAGAAGGAUUGCUGGGAGUUCAAGGCCAGCCUGGGCUGCAUAGUGAGUUCAAGUUCAGCCUGUCUGAAAAGACCAAAACAAACAAACAAAACAUGCCACUUGUCCUUUUGACUAAUAGCUUUGAGUGAUGGCCUCAGAGAUACCCC
ensembl:lncRNA